GAUGAACGCUGGCGGCGUGCCUAAUACAUGCAAGUCGAGCGAACAGACGAGGAGCUUGCUCCUCUGACGUUAGCGGCGGACGGGUGAGUAACACGUGGAUAACCUACCUAUAAGACUGGGAUAACUUCGGGAAACCGGAGCUAAUACCGGAUAAUAUAUUGAACCGCAUGGUUCAAUAGUGAAAGACGGUUUUGCUGUCACUUAUAGAUGGAUUCGCGCCGCAUUAGCUAGUUGGUAAGGUAACGGCUUACCAAGGCAACGAUGCGUAGCCGACCUGAGAGGGUGAUAGGCCGCACUGGAACUGAGACACGGUCCAGACUCCUACGAGAGGCAGCAGUAGGGAAUCUUCCGCAAUGGGCGAAAGCUUGACGGAGCAACGCCGCGUGAGUGAUGAAGGUCUUCGGAUCGUAAAACUCUGUUAUUAGGGAAGAACAAAUGUGUAAGUAACUAUGCACGUCUUGACGGUACCUAAUCAGAAAGCCACGGCUAACUACGUG
rnacentral:rRNA from 1 species